rnacentral:lncRNA from 1 species
AUGAAAUUCAGUGGAGGAGAAAGUCUUUCAGAGACAGGUGGAUCUGAACUGGUCACAGAAGGCAGCUCUCAGGUGCUUUUAAAAAGUAACCCUCUUCCUGGGAUACGGAACUUCCCUCUAACCAUAACGGAUGUUCUGAACUACAAUAAACAUCAGAUGGAUCCAGGUUUGUCUGAACUCACUGUGAUUGUUUCAUUCAGCUGCUGUUUCAAUGUGUCUGAAGGGGCCAGCUCCUCCAGCACAUUUCCUACCUGGAAGAAGAGGACUCUGGGCUUGCUGAGGGGAGGCCCCAGGAGCAGAACUGAAUUAUCAGACGGCACAGUCAACAUCCUCCUCCCAGGCCAAAGAUUCCUGAAGACAGAGCUGAAGUGAUGUACUCAUAGGUGGAUAUCUGUCCCUCAGAGGUGGCUUAGGUCUUCAAGUUUGAGCACUUCUGGAAAGCCAAGGAAACCUCCAUCUCUUCCUUCCUGCUCUACAACUCACCUGAGAACAGAUUUCUCAUUGGAAUGUCUUGUGUUUAAGGAAUAAGAGUCCCUGCUUCAGGUUUGGGUGGCUGGGUGCACUUACUGCAUCCAGCCUAGGGUUGGAGAUAAUUUCCAGAACACAACAUCAUCGGAGACAUGACCAGCCACACUGUUUCACUUUCACAAUUUCAGCUUCCUCAGAAGAAAAUUAAAAUUGCUGAGACUUUUUAUAAGCAUUGUGCCAUGUCCUUUCUCUGUUUU